rnacentral:rRNA from 1 species
UACGUAGGGGGCUAGCGUUGUCCGGAAUCAUUGGGCGUAAAGCGCGUGUAGGCGGCCCGAUAAGUCCGCUGUGAAAGUCCAGGGCUCAACCCUGGGAUGCCGGUGGAUACUGUCGGGCUCGAGUCCGGGAGAGGCGAGUGGAAUUCCUGGUGUAGCGGUGAAGUGCGCAGAUAUCAGGAGGAACACCAAUGGCGAAGGCAGCUCGCUGGGACGUGACUGACGCUGAGACGCGAAAGCGUGGGGAGCAAACAGG